rnacentral:rRNA from 1 species
UACGUGGGGUGCAAGCGUUAUCCGGAUUUAUUGGGCGUAAAGAGUUCGUAGGCGUCUAGUUAAGUUUUGUUUGAAAUCUCGAGGCUUAACCUCGAAAUUGGGCGAAAUACUGGCUAGAUUGAGUCUGUUAGGGGGUACUGGAACUCACGGUGUAGCAGUGAAAUGCGUUGAUAUCGUGAGGAACACCAAGGGCGAAGGCAGGUACCUGGGACAUGACUGACGCUGAGGAACGAAAGCUAGGGGAGCGAAAGGG